UACGAAGGGGGCUAGCGUUGCUCGGAAUCACUGGGCGUAAAGCGCACGUAGGCGGACUCUUAAGUCGGUGGUGAAAUCCUGGAGCUCAACUCCAGAACUGCCUUUGAUACUGAAGAUCUUGAGUUCGGGAGAGGUGAGUGGAACUGCGAGUGUAGAGGUGAAAUUCGUAGAUAUUCGCAAGAACACCAGUGGCGAAGGCGGCUUGCCAGAAUGCGC
rnacentral:rRNA from 1 species